rnacentral:rRNA from 1 species
UACAGAGGUCCCAAGCGUUGUUCGGAUUCACUGGGCGUAAAGGGUGCGUAGGCGGUCGCGUAAGUCAGGUGUGAAAUCUCAGGGCUCAACCCUGAAACUGCACUUGAUACUGCGUGGCUCGGGUACUGGAGAGGAGACUGGAAUUUACGGUGUAGCAGUGAAAUGCGUAGAUAUCGUAAGGAAGACCAGUGGCGAAGGCGAGUCUCUGGACAGUUACCGACGCUGAGGCACGAAGGUCAGGGGAGCAAACGGG